GGGAGUUUGGCCGAGUGGUUAAGGCGCCGUGUUUAGGUAAUGUUAAGCUCCACGCUUGACCUACCAUCAAACCCGCGGUGGGAAACCGCGCAGGUUCGAAUCCUGCAGCUCUCA